GACGAACGCUGGCGGCGUGCCUAACACAUGCAAGUCGAACGGGGGAAUUUAUUUCGGUAGAUUCCUUAGUGGCGCACGGGUGAGUAACGCGUGAACAAUCUGUCCAUCAGAGGGGGAUAACACUUGGAAACAGGUGCUAAUACCGCAUAGGACCACGGGGUCACAUGGUCCUGAGAUGAAAGGAGCAAUCCGCUGAGGGAGGAGUUCGCGUCCCAUUAGGUAGAUGGCGGGGUAAAGGCCCACCAUGCCAGCGAUGGGUAGCCGAGCUGAGAGGCUGAACGGCCACACUGGAACUGAGAGACGGUCCAGACUCCUACGGGAGGCAGCAGUGGGGAAUAUUGGGCAAUGGGCGAAAGCCUGACCCAGCAACGCCGCGUGAGGGAAGAAGGUUUUCGGAUUGUAAACCUCUGUCGCAGGAGACGAAAGGAAUGACGGUAUUCUGUGAGGAAGCCCCGGCUAACUACGUGCCAGCAGCCGCGGUAAUAC
rnacentral:rRNA from 1 species